rnacentral:ncRNA from 1 species
AUUGCCAUGGUAACCCUGCCCAGUAUUGCAGGUUCAAACAUUUGGUGUGCAUGCAUGGCUGAAGAGCCAAUGGAGUGAAGCUGCCAUCUGUAAGAUUAUGACUGAGUUCCUCCAAGUCAGAACCUGUCCAGUGGAACAAU